rnacentral:lncRNA from 1 species
ACCACAGGCUGAUAAAAAGUCUUCUCAGUCCUUGCUGGGAGGUGAAGAUGAAGGAGUGGGUUUCAUUCACGCUCAUUUCUUACUGAAGUCUGCAGCCAUGCCCCGAAAAUGUUGGAUUGAAGAAACUUUUUCCAAGAGAGAAUGUGUGAAGUUUAUUCCAUCCUCUUGGAAUUUGCACAGAUGUGUUCCACUGUGUCAAGUGUGCCAAAGCUUAAUAAG